UAGAGUUUGAUCCUGGCUCAGAUUGAACGCUGGCGGCAGGCCUAACACAUGCAAGUCGAGCGGAUGAGAGGAGCUUGCUCCUUAAUUCAGCGGCGGACGGGUGAGUAAUGCCUAGGAAUCUGCCUGGUAGUGGGGGACAACGUUUCGAAAGGAACGCUAAUACCGCAUACGUCCUACGGGAGAAAGCAGGGGACCUUCGUGGCCUUGCGCUAUCAGAUGAGCCUAGGUCGGAUUAGCUAGUUGGUGAGGUAAUGGCUCACCAAGGCGACGAUCCGUAACUGGUCUGAGAGGAUGAUCAGUCACACUGGAACUGAGACACGGUCCAGACUCCUACGGGAGGCAGCAGUGGGGAAUAUUGGACAAUGGGCGAAAGCCUGAUCCAGCCAUGCCGCGUGUGUGAAGAAGGUCUUCGGAUUGUAAAGCACUUUAAGUUGGGAGGAAGGGCAGUAAAUUAAUACUUUGCUGUUUUGACGUUACCGACAGAAUAAGCACCGGCUAACUCUGUGCCAGCAGCCGCGGUAAUACAGAGGGUGCAAGCGUUAAUCGGAAUUACUGGGCGUAAAGCGCGCGUAGGUGGUUCGUUAAGUUGGAUGUGAAAUCCCCGGGCUCAACCUGGGAACUGCAUUCAAAACUGUCGAGCUAGAGUAUGGUAGAGGGUGGUGGAAUUUCCUGUGUAGCGGUGAAAUGCGUAGAUAUAGGAAGGAACACCAGUGGCGAAGGCGCCAC
rnacentral:rRNA from 1 species